UACGGAGGGUGCAAGCGUUAUCCGGAUUCACUGGGCGUAAAGGGCGCGUAGGCGGCCUGUUAAGUCGAACGUGAAAUCCCCGGGCUCAACCCGGGAACUGCGUCCGAUACUGGCAGGCUUGAAUCCGGGAGAGGGAUGCGGAAUUCCAGGUGUAGCGGUGAAAUGCGUAGAUAUCUGGAGGAACACCGGUGGCGAAGGCGGCAUCCUGGACCGGCAUUGACGCUGAGGCGCGAAAGCCAGGGGAGCAAAGCGGG
rnacentral:rRNA from 1 species